CUGUACCCCCCAUUCACACACAGGUCAUAUCCCAUAUAACUUCCCGUGAAGAAGACUUACCAUUAUGGCCAAUGAGUCUUACCUGGCUACCAAGAUGGCUAUCACACAGGGAAGACUGGUUGAGGUGGAGGAGGGAGAAGAUUGACACCUUGGGUUGCUAACUGACCCCAAUAUCAGUCAUAACAAUGAAACCUGGACUGCUCCAGAGGUUGUAAUUUGUUACGCUUUCGGUCUGUGAUGGCCUUCGUUGGAAAAUGCUGGCUACACGAGUUUGUAACAGAAGUUGAUGGGCUGUUUGAUGCAAACUAUAGAUGUUGGUGAUAUUUUGUUUGCAUUAAAAGGAUGGACCUUUGUGGACAUGGAACACUCCCAGAAGACAUACCGUUGUGGACAUGGAACACCAUCAGAAGACAUACCGUUGUGGACAUGGAACACUCUCAAAAGUCAUACCUUUGUGGACAUGGAACACUCUCAGACAACAUAACUUUGUGGACAUCGAGCACUCACAGACGAGAUAAGUACAAUGCUGAUUAAAUGAUUCCUUAAGCAUUGAUGCGACAUGGAAUCUAAUGGUGAUUAGUAAAUUAGAUAAGGUACUGUAGUAUAUUUCAUUGGGAGUCCACACAAGUGCAACUUUAAAACAGUCUGUUCUUUACUGAUAACAUAUAUAUUUUUCUAUAUUCAAACAGCUGUGUCUCAGGCUUUGUCAGGACACUUUAAUAUUUGUCGUUGGUCUUUUUUGUAUUACAUGCAGGUCAAUCUUUAUCUCUUUCCUCAAUGUCUGGAGUAAACUGUUCUCUUUCGAGUUCUUGACUCAUCUCAGAAUUAGUGGGCAGUGUAAAGACAUGAUUACCGUUGAUGUAGCUGUUCCUCUCUCUCCCUCUGACUAAGGGCGAUACAAUUAGAGCGUCUGUGAUAAAUCUCAAAAAGGAAUAUGAGUAGAAAGUAUGGAAACAACUCAAUAUAAUACAGAACUUUUUUGUGUGUGUUCAUCUGGGUCUUUUAAACUGUUCAAGUUCUAAUUGACUUCAGUAUUAAAGUGAAAGUACAUUUGAUUUGUCACGUGUCGAAUACAACAGGUGUAGAAGAUGUGUGUUAAUAUGUGUUAAGGAAGUAUUUACUAAAAUAAACUGAAGUAAAAAAAAAAAAAAAAAAGGAAGAAUGAAAAAUGACUAUUAAUUAAAAGGCAACAAUAAAAUAUCAGCAGCGAGGCUAUAUACAGGGGGUACCGGUACAGAGUCAAUGUGGCAGGGACACAGAUUAGUCAAAGUAAUUGAGGUAAUAUGUACAUGCAGUUAAAGUGACUAUGCAUAAAUAAUAACAGAGAGUAGCAGCAGCGUAUGGAAAUAGUCCGGGUAGCCAUUUGAUUAGGUGGUCUGGAGUCUUAUGGCUUGGGGUUAGAAGCUGUUAAGAAGCCUUUUGGACCUAGACUUGGUGCUCUGGUAGCGCUUGCCGUGUGGUAGCAGAGAGAACAGUCUAUGGCUAAGGUGGCUGGAGUCUUUGGAAAUUUUUAGGGCCUUCCUCUAACACCGCCUGGUAUAGAGGUCCUGGAUGGCAGGAAGCUUGGCCCCAGUGAUGUACUGGGCCGUACACACUAUCCUCUGUAGUGCCUUGCGGUCGGAGGAUGAGCAGUUGCCAUACCAGGCGGUGAUGCAAACAGUCAGGAUGCUCUUGAUGGUGCAGCUGUAGAAUUUUUGGAGGAUCUGAGGACCCAUAAAAACAUAUUUUCAGUCUCCUGAGGGGGAAUAGGCAUUGUCGUGCCCUCUUCACAACUGUCUUGUUGUGUUUGGACCAUGAUACUUUGUUGGUGUUGAACACCAAGGAACUUGAAGCUCUCAACCUGCUCCACUAUAGGCCUGUCGGUGAGAAUGGGCACAUGCUCAUCCUCCUUUUCCUAUAGUCCACAAUCAUCUCCUUUGUCUUGAUCACGUUGAGGGAGAGUUCUAUAUCCUGGCACCACACUGCCAGGUCUCUGACCUCCUCCUUGUAGGCUGUGUCAUCGUUGUCGGUGAUCAGGCCUACCGUUGUUGUGACGUCUGCACACUUAAUGAUGGAGUUGUGCUUAGUCAUGCCUGGCCAUGCAGUCAUGGGUGAACAGGGAGUAGAGGAGAGGACUGAGGGGCCCGCAUGUUAAGGAUCAGCAUGCCAGAUGUGUUGUUACUUACCCUUACCACCUGGAAGUGGCCCGUCAGUAAGUCCAGGAUCUAUUUGCAGAGGGAGGUGUUUAGUCCCAGGGUCCUUAGCUUAUUGAUGAGCUUUGAGGUCACUAUGGUGAUGAAUGCUGAGCUGUAGUCAAUGAAUAAUAUUAUCAUGCAGGUGUUCCUUCUGUACAGGUGGGAAAGGGCAGUGUGGAGUGCAAUAGAGAUUGCAUCAUUUGUUUAUCUGUUGGAGCGGUAUGCAAAUUGGAGUGGGUCUAGGGUUUUUGGGAUAAUGGUGUUGAGGCGAGCCAUGACCAGCCUUUCAAAACACUUUAUGGCUACAGACGUGAGUGCUAAGGGUCGUCAGUCAUUUAGGCAGGUUACCUUGGUGCUCUUGGGCACAGGGACUAUGGUGGUCUCAUUGAAACAUGUUGAUUACAGACUCAGACAGAGACAGCUUGCCAGUUGGUCAGCGCAUGCUCGGAGUACACGUCCUGGUAAUCCAUCUGGCCAUGCGACCUUGUGAAUGUUGACCUGUUUAAAGGUCUUACUUACAUCGGCUACGGAGAGCGUGAUAACAAAGUCAUCCAGAACAGCUGAAGCUCUCAUGCAUGCCUCAAUGUUGCUUGCCUCGAAGCAAGCAUAGAAUUAAUUUAGCUCGUCUGGUAGGCUCGUGUCAUUGGGCAGCUCUCGGCUGUGCUUCCCUUUGUAGUCCAAAAUAGUUUGCAAGCCCGGCCACAUCCGACGAGCGUCAGAGCCUGUGUAGUACAAUUCAAUCUUAGUCCUGUAUUGGCGCUUUGCCUAUUUAAUGGGUCAUUAGACGGCAUAGCAGGAUUUUUUAUAAGCGUCCGGGUUAGAGUCCCGCCCUUUGAAAGCGGCAGGUCUACUCUUUAGGUCAGUACGGAUGUUGCCUGUAAUCCACGGCUUCUGGUUGAGUUAUGUACGUGCAUUCACUUUGGGGAUGACGUCAUUGAUGCACUUAUUGAUGAAGCCAGUGAUUUAUGUGGUGCAAUCCUCAAUGCCAUCGGAAGAAUCCCUGAACAUUUUCCAGUCUGUGCUAGCAAAACAGUCCUGCAGCUUAGUAUCUGCCUCUUCUCACCACUUCCGUAUUGAGCGAGUCCCUGGUACUUCCGGCUUUAGUUUUCGCUUGUAAGCAGAAAUCAGGAGGAUAGAGUUAUGGUCAGAUUUUCCAAAUGGAGGGCAAGGGAGAGCUUUGUACGUCUCUGUGUGUAUUAAAGCUCCCGGCCACUAGGAGCGGCGCCUAUGGAUGAGCAUUUUCUUGUUUGGUUAUAGCCGUAUACCGCUCGUUGAGUGCUUGUCUUAGUGCCAGCAUCGGUUUGUGGUUGUAAAUAGACCGGUACGAAAAAUAUACUAGAGCUGCUUGACUUAUAAAUAUUUUGACAAGAGCUGUCAUGCUAGACAACUGCAGGCCCGAAUUGUUUUGUGCAGUUCAGCUUUUCAUGUAAGACCCUCCCUGCAGUUGAUUCAAAGCGAUAAUUUUUUUCUGAAGGUGUUUAUAGUUUGAGAUGUAUUGGCUUGGUGUUUUUGGAAAGCUAGUGUUGGAAGUCUCAAGAGACAUAUGAAGAUGAACCUUUUAAAAAACACAAGUCCCCUCGACUCGACUUGUUUUCCAUUCUUAACAUAUUGCAUCACGGCUCACAUACCAUGUUGGACCUGCGACAAGGCUUUGUGUGCGUAAUGGAUUGUGUAAAGUAUAUAUUCAUCAAAACGGUAACUUUGUGGGACCGUUGAGUUCAAGUAUUGAGUACACAUUGCAGUUACUGUGGUCACUUGGGGAUAUGUGGUUUUGGUUUCAUUAUGUAGUUAGAAUUGUUUAUGAGAGCAGACAAUUCACCUAAACUGCUAGUGUAGAUAAAAUGACAUUAGCACAGAAAGACAAUGAACAUUGAUUGUACAAAUAAAUCCAGUUUAUGUCCAUGUAUCUGUUGCCAGACUAUCACAAAGCCUUUCAAUAUCUAACCUGUUUAAGUUCAACCUUAGCUCUCUUAACAGCACUUACAAUAAAAUGUUCUGAGUUUAAUUAUAUCCUUUUCAGGUUUCUGGUGUUCUAAUCAAUUUGUUUUGGGAAUGUCAAGAGGAGAACCCCAGGUUCUGACAUAACUUUGUUUUUCCCAAAUAAUGUUCCUGUCAGCCCCCGGUAGUCUCCCACUCAGAUGCACAAUGUCAGACAGAGAACGUCAGUCAUCAGCAUUCGGUACAACAAUCAAAUCAUGCUGCUCUUAGAUAGUUGACAUGUUGGAGAUGUAUUUAUUCACACUUCCUUUGAAAAAAGUGAGCAAAAAACUUUUCACUUCAGAUGUUUCAACUGAAACAAGUCACAUUCCUUCACACAGUCAAAUGAGCUCACAUUCUCUAGCAAAUGUAAUAUAUAAAAACCAAUGCAUUUGGAGUCUAUCACCUGCAUACACUAUUUGAAGCUUAGUCACCCAGCACCGCAAUUACAUUGCAGGUAACCCAACACACUACCUAAGCCUUGUUUGGAUUAUUUGUAAUUCCUACCACUGGGGGAAAUAAUCUGUAUUGCCAGACAGCGCCGCUAGAAUAAAGUGUCAGUCUAUCUAAGGUUUAUUUGUGACUUCUCCAGUCUCUAACUCACUUGCACAACAGUGCGUGUGGGGAUUUGAUUGGCCGUUUGUCUGCAUUAGGUUUGUUGCCUGUUACAGAUAGCAGGAUGCAUCUCAUUAGUCAAGUGUGGGAAUGAUGGUUCAGAGCCCAAUAGAUUACAAUACAAUAGACUAUAACUAGUCUAUUGCUGCUUGCUGCUGGUGAUCCUCUGAUCCACCUCUACGCAGAUGACACCAUUCUGUAUAAUUCUGGCCCUUCUUUGGACACUGUGUUAACAAAUUUCCAGACGAGCUCCAAUGCCAUACAACACUCCUUCCGUGGCCUCCAACUGCUCUUAAAUGCAAGUACAACUAAAUGCAUGCUCUUCAACCGAUCGCUGCCCACACCUGCCCGCCUGACUAGCAUCACUACUCUGGACGGUUCUGACUUAGAAUAUGUGGACAACUACAAAUACCUAGGUGUUAGACUGUAAACUCUCCUUCCAGACUCAUAUUAAGCAUCUCCAAUCCAAAAUGGAAUCUUGAAUCGGCUUCCUAUUUCGCAACAAAGCAUCCUCCACUCAUGCUGCCGAACAUACCCUCGUAAAACUGACUACCCUACCGAUCCUUGACUUUGGCGAUGUCAUUUACAAAAUAGCCUCAAACGAUGUAGUCUAUCACAGUGCAUCUGUUUUGUCACCAGAGCCCCAUACACUACCCAGCACAGCGAUGUGUAUGCUCUCGUUGGAUGGCCCUCGCUUCAUAUUCAUCCCCAAACCCACUGGCUCCAGGUCAUCUAUACGUCUUUGCAAGGCUGAAUAUACUCUCCUGCAACCCGCAGAGCCCGGCCCGCCACAGGAGUCGCUAGUGCGUGAUGAGACAAGGAUAUCCCUACCGGCCAAACCCUCCCUAACCCGGACGAUGUGUAGAGGACUGCUAAUUCCUAUCUGAACAGGGUGUGACGACCAAGAACAGGCAUGGCAGGAUUCUACGAUGAUGGACAGACAACAGAGCCAAUGCCGGAUGACUACACCCCAGCCUGAUCCAAUCCGAAGAUCCGAUCUCCUAGAUAUCAACCUACUUUCUGUUGUGUAUAUGAAGCUUGUACUUACUGUUAGCAAGGUGUCUUUUUUGCUAGUCUCUGAUGAGCUAACAGAGGGGCCCGUAUAUACGCUGUACCAGAUAUCUCCACUUUGAAAUAAACCUGUCGCUUGUCGUACAAUCUAC